CUGCUUGCAUUUCAAGGAGAAUGAAAAUGAUUCGCAUAGCAUAUGGUUUCUUGACUUGGGUGCUACAAAUUACGUGUGGUAGAAAAGAAUUGUUUGUUGAAUUGAAUAUUGAAGUUCGAGGAGAAGUUUUGGGAUUUAUUUGAAGUUCUAGUCAAAGACAAAGGAUGAUCCAAUUAAAAAAUGUCCACUCUAUGCCACAACUAAAGAGCAACAUAAUUGAGCAUAGGCAAUUGUUGGAGAAAGGAUAUAUCUUUCUUAUGGAAGACUUUGUAUUGACUCUAAAGGCUCAACAUGAGAGGAUGAUUGGUAGAUUAUAGAUGUCAAAAAAUUAGAUAUUUCC
rnacentral:lncRNA from 1 species